UCGUUUAUGCAUCAUCAUGGCAUCAUGCAUGCAUCAUAUACAUGUUUUCAACAAAAUAAAAUUAUUUUAUAAACCCUAAAAUUAUUUUGCUUCUUUCUUAUAUGGGUGAUCUAAUAAAACCUCUCCUUCUCCUUCUUUUAAUAAAACCCUAACCCUCUCUUUCCCUAGGCCUCUCUCUUCUCUUCUGGCCCAGAUCUCCACCGACAGCCCACCUUCUCCUCUUCCUCCCUCUGGCCCAUCUCUUUUGGCCCGUACCUCUUCGCACGCCAUCCUCUUUCUUCCUCGGUGGACAGCGCCCAGACAGCUAUCGAUCCCACCUUUUCUGUGUGAUCCUCCCCUCCUCUGCUUUUCUAUCUGGACCACGGCAUCCACCUGCUCCUCCUUAUCUCUGCAACCACCCAUCCUCCUUCCUCACGUCUCCCUUGCCCCUUUUCUUUCUUCAUCUGCAAGCCAAACGAGAGAGAGAAAACCCAUCGUUGGCCACCGUGGCAACUCCACCAUGGCGACGCCGCUCCAGGCACCCCCCCUGCCCGUCCGAGCACACCACCAGAACCGCCUCACCUUCCUCUCCAUCCCCACCCAAGGAAUCGAGCCGGAGCUCUCCCAAUCGCCGCCAAUUUCGCCGAUACCCAACUCUGACCACCGGAGAAAAUGGUCGAUUCUGGCCGCUGGAGACCUCCCCCAUCCUCUCCGACCUCAUCCACGGCUUCCUGGUGAUGUGCUCGUUCUUCCAGACCUCUUCCCCGUCUCAAUCUCGUCCUCGUUUUCUUCCUACCGACUUUGACCACCGGUAACCUCCGCAGGAGCUCGUCGCCGGCGACGCCGCGGUGCCUCCCUGACCGUCUCAUCACCCGAAGCUGCACCACCACGCUGAGCCGCACCCUCGACGCCACUUCUCUCGACCUGGUUCGCUCCCAGUCGCCCAAACCAUCUCCGACCUGCUCGUCCGCCAUGGCUGCUGUAUGCAAGGUCGACCCGGCCUUAUGUGUGUUCUUGUUGACGUGCACCUGGCACUGUUCAUUGAUCCGCAUCUAGCCUAGCUGAUCUCGCAGCGAAGGAUGUUUCAAUUUGUGUGGAGUCUUUCCCUAAUCAACAUAUACACACUAGCCUGGCUGGUGGCCCCUUCUGUCAGCCUCCACCGGCGCCACCUCAGCCUUCCUGCCUUGUCAGCGUCCUGUCACCAUCUCCCUGGCCCGCUGGUCAGCCUCUUGGGGUAUCUCAUCUUCGCAUUUGCUUCUUCCCGGAUAGGAUCACGAAGUGUUGAUGUGAGAUACGAC